rnacentral:rRNA from 1 species
UACGUAGGGUGCGAGCGUUAAUCGGAAUUACUGGGCGUAAAGCGUGCGCAGGCGGUUCGUUGUGUCGGCGGUGAAAGCCCCGGGCUCAACCUGGGAAUGGCCGUUGAAACUGGCGAACUGGAGUGUGGCAGAGGGGGGUGGAAUUCCACGUGUAGCAGUGAAAUGCGUAGAGAUGUGGAGGAACACCGAUGGCGAAGGCAGCCCCCUGGGCUGAGAUUGACGCUCAGGCACGAAAGCGUGGGGAGCAAACAGG